ACAGCCUGAAGUCAUCCUACCUCUUGAAACAAGGCCAUUGAACUUUGGGAGAUAUAAGAAAGGACAGAAGCCAUCUUUGGCAUCCAUCACUACACAGACAUAAGAGCUCAGAGCCCCUGCAAGCUGAGAAAAUGGGUCCUUCAACGAAGGGAGGGGUUUGAAGACUCUGGAAGUGAAUAUAGCCUGUGAACAGGGGUAUCAGAAGGAAGCUAUGAGCCUGACAUUUCUCCAUUAAACCAGUGCAGUAGAAAUGGAUUCUCAGCCUAAUAAGGUUUGACAAGACCUGGCACUGGAAGCAGAUGAAGGUCCUGACAGCACCUCAAGCUAUUACCCUGUUCAGGCAGAGUGUGAAAUGGAAGAUUCAAGAUUCAUACUCUCUGCGUACAGCUGCUGAUCUGUAUCCAAAAGUCUUGUAAAUGAUCUGAGCUGAAGUCCAUAAUUUAAAGA